rnacentral:rRNA from 1 species
UACGUAGGUGGCAAGCGUUGUCCGGAUUUACUGGGCGUAAAGAGCGCGCAGGCGGUCGGAUAAGUCGAAUGUGAAAGCCCCCGGCUCAACUGGGGAGGGUCAUUCGAUACUGUUCGACUCGAAGGCAGGAGAGGGAAGUGGAAUUCCCGGUGUAGUGGUGAAAUGCGUAGAUAUCGGGAGGAACACCAGUGGCGAAGGCGACGAUCUGGGCAGAUACUGACGCUGAGGUGCGAAAGCGUGGGGAGCAAACAGG